UGCCAGCCGCCGCGGUAAGACAGAGGGUGCAAGCGUUGUUCGGAUUUACUGGGCGUAAAGCGCGCGUAGGCGGCCAAGUAAGUCAGAUGUGAAAUCCCGGGGCUCAACCCCGGAACCGCAUCUGAAACUGCUUGGCUUGAGUCCCGGAGAGGGUGGUGGAAUUCCUGGUGUAGAGGUGAAAUUCGUAGAUAUCAGGAGGAACAUCGGUGGCGAAGGCGACCACCUGGACGGAGACUGACGCUGAGGUGCGAAAGCGUGGGGAGCGAACAGGAUUAGAUA
rnacentral:rRNA from 1 species